GAUGAACGCUGGCGGCGUGCCUAAUACAUGCAAGUCGAGCGAACGGACGAGAAGCUUGCUUUUCUGAUGUUAGCGGCGGACGGGUGAGUAACACGUGGAUAACCUACCUAUAAGACUGGGAUAACUUCGGGAAACCGGAGCUAAUACCGGAUAAUAUUUUGAACCGCAUGGUUCAAAAGUGAAAGACGGUCUUGCUGUCACUUAUAGAUGGAUCCGCGCUGCAUUAGCUAGUUGGUAAGGUAACGGCUUACCGAGGCAACGAUGCAUAGCCGACCUGGGAGGGUGAUCGGCCACACUGGAACUGAGACACGGUCCAGACUCCUACGGGAGGCAGCAGUAGGGAAUCUUCCGCAAUGGGCGAAAGCCUGACGGAGCAACGCCGCGUGAGUGAUGAAGGUCUUCGGAUCGUAAAACUCUGUUAUUAGGGAAGAACAUAUGUGUAAGUAACUGUGCACAUCUUGACGGUACCUAAUCAGAAAGCCACGGCUAACUACGU
rnacentral:rRNA from 1 species